UACUUUCGUACUCCAUAUUCUGUAUCUCUCUGUUCUUUCCUUUUUACAGUCACAUGUAAUAAAAAGCCAUUUUCAAUAACGUUUUUCUAACAUCGAGCUUUUUCGGCAUGCCUAUCAAAUGUCUGAUAAAAUGCCUCAAAAAAAUCACAAUCGUAAAGUUGUAUAAAUGAUGUACGUGAAGGCCUUCGAAGGGCAUGAGUGGCCUUGGUUUGAUAGAUAGACUUUAUGGGUUUAUGGGCCAUUUCAAGAAAGCUUAUUUUUAAGUCCACUUUCAGAAUGAUUCAAUGUGUUUGACAUUGCUUGAUUAGAUUUAUCUCUAGUUCUGGCAUUUAUUUAUUUUUUUCAUGUCUUUCAAUUGCGUUAAUCCAGUGUUGCAACUUGCUGUCAUGAAAAUGUUGAAGCUUGCCCCUUCAAUUUUGUACUUAUUGUAAACUUGUUCAGUUAACGCUAGAAUCAUUAUGGAGAUUGACAAAAUUGCCGAGCUGAAGAGUUUUCUCAAGGUUCUUCCCCCAGUUGGAUUUUGUUGCGUCUAUGGCUCAUCUCUCCAUCCAAAUAAUAACGACAAGUCAUCCAUGGUAGAUUAUAUUAUUGGCGUAUCAGAUCCCAAGCAAUGGCAUUCUGAGAAUAUGGAAUUGAAUGAAGAUCACUAUGCCUCCUGGAUGGUGCCCCUUGGCGGUGCAAAACUGAUUACUCAAGUUGCAGAUAAGAUUGGUGUAGGAGUGCACUUUAAUCCAUUUGUAACAUGGAAUGACAAGAUGCUCAAAUACGGUGUUGUUAGGAUGCAUGACUUGGUUCAAGAUGUACUGCAUUGGGAGAGAUUCUAUUUGUGUGGUCGUCUACAAAAACCAGUUCAUAUACUUGUGGAUAAUUUGGAUAUUGGAGAUGUAAACUCUGUCAAUCUGAGGGCUGCAGUCUCUGCUGCUCUUCUCCUUUUGCCAUCCAAAUUCACCGAGGAAGAUUUGUACUCCAAAAUAUGUAGCCUCUCAUAUAUGGGUGACUUGCGCAUGCUUUUUGCAGAGGAUAAAAAUAAGGUGAAGAGGAUUGUUGAAGGACAGUUUGGUUUAUUCCAAUCGAUGUAUAAACCAUUUCUAAAAGAAUACGAGGCUAAAGAGUUACUGACAUUCUCAUUGCCUAAUUCUCAUCAGGCUACUAUCUCUCAGGACUGCAGUUUAUCAAGGACUCAUUCCCUAGUUCAUUCACUUCCUCCCCUUGUCAGAAGAAAAAUGGGGAUGAAGCUAGGAGAGAUCCAAGUGCUGAAGGAUUCUGGUCGAGUUUUACAUGAAGUCGUGAUUGGUUCAAGAGAAGAGGCUGCCAGGAGUAUGCAGAGGAUUAUCAGGCGUACUGUUAUGGUUUCAAGUGCAAGGCAGGCUGUCUCUGGUUUCCUGGCUGCUGGUGGUAUUAAUGCUACUAGAUAUCUUGCUAAUAAAGUGCGCAAGGCUUGGAAAUCUUGGACAUGAUGCAGCACAUCUUCCCCCUCAUUUCCUUAUCCCCCCAGUUUUGUGCAUACUCUGAAAUAGUUCAGCCAGGUCAAUAGUUAUAUUUUCUUGACGAGGAAUCCCAUAAAAAAAAAUGGCCAUACGUAGAUGAGAUGAAGGAUAGAUACUUAGCUAGAAGAACAAGCUUUAUAUCGCUGAUCUAUUUCAUACUUUGUAGAGGAGCAUUUCACUAUUUCCUUGCUACACUUGUUAUUGAAUUUCUUUUUUCUUGGAGAGGAAGGUUUUGUAUUGACUUGUAUAUCGCCUUAUGCAUCAUUAUAGUAUUUAGAACAUGUGAUAGUUCGAACCC